UUCACCUGCUGAGGUUGAAGUGACAUGUUUUUACAUGUCACAGCAUAAAGGAGGACAAUACCAGUCUCCUCACAGUAACAUAUCCUUCAUUAACAUACAAAUGGGGACGACUUCUUCUGUGACCACACCAAGGACAUCUUCAGACAUUUCAGUAGACCCAAUUUCUACAAAGCUCAGCACUACAGGGACGACUUCUUCUGUGACCACACCAAGGACAUCUUCAG